AUUGAACGCUGGCGGCAGGCCUAACACAUGCAAGUCGAGCGGAUGAAGGGAGCUUGCUCCUGGAUUCAGCGGCGGACGGGUGAGUAAUGCCUAGGAAUCUGCCUGGUAGUGGGGGAUAACGUCUGGAAACGGGCGCUAAUACCGCAUACGUCGUGAGGGAGAAAGUGGGGGAUCUUCGGACCUCACGCUCUCAGAUGAGCCUAGGUGGGAUUAGCUAGCUGGUGGGGUAAAGGCCUACUAAGGCGACGAUCCGUAACUGGACUGAGAGGAUGAUCAGUCACAUGAGAACGGGAACACGGACCAGGCUCCUGAGAGAGGCAGCAGAGGGGAAUGGUAGGCAGUAGGCGGAAACCUGGUCCAGUCGGGGCGCGUGUGUGGAGGAGGUCUUCGGAGUGUAAAGCACGUUAAGUUGGGAGAAAGGGCAGUAAGUUAAUACCUUGCGUUUGUGACGGUACCAACAAAAGAAGCACCGGCUAACUUCGUG
rnacentral:rRNA from 1 species